AAUGGGGGCAACCCUGAUCCAGCCAUGCCGCGUGUCUGAAGAAGGCCUUCGGGUUGUAAAGGACUUUUGUCAGGGAGGAAAUCCUGGUCGUUAAUAGCGAUCGGGGAUGACAGUACCUGAAGAAUAAGCACCGGCUAACUACGUGCCAGCAGCCGCGGUAAUACGUAGGGUGCGAGCGUUAAUCGGAAUUACUGGGCGUAAAGCGUGCGCAGGCGGUUGUGCAAGUCUGAUGUGAAAGCCCCGGGCUUAACCUGGGAACGGCAUUGGAGACUGCACGACUAGAGUACGUCAGAGGGGGGUAGAAUUCCACGUGUAGCAGUGAAAUGCGUAGAGAUGUGGAGGAAUACCGAUGGCGAAGGCAGCCCCCUGGGAUGAUACUGACGCUCAUGCACGAAAGCGUGGGGAGCAAA
rnacentral:rRNA from 1 species